rnacentral:rRNA from 1 species
CCUACGGGAGGCUGCAGUGGGGAAUAUUGCACAAUGGGCGCAAGCCUGAUGCAGCCAUGCCGCGUGUGUGAAGAAGGCCUUCGGGUUGUAAAGCACUUUCAGCGGGGAGGAAGGCGGUGAGGUUAAUAACCUCGGCGAUUGACGUUACCCGCAGAAGAAGCACCGGCUAACUCCGUGCCAGCAGCCGCGGUAAUACGGAGGGUGCAAGCGUUAAUCGGAAUUACUGGGCGUAAAGCGCACGCAGGCGGUCUGUCAAGUCGGAUGUGAAAUCCCCGGGCUCAACCUGGGAACUGCAUUCGAAACUGGCAGGCUAGAGUCUUGUAGAGGGGGGUAGAAUUCCAGGUGUAGCGGUGAAAUGCGUAGAGAUCUGGAGGAAUACCGGUGGCGAAGGCGGCCCCCUGGACAAAGACUGACGCUCAGGUGCGAAAGCGUGGGGAGCAAACAGGAUUAGAUACCCGUGUAGUC